GCCCCUAUAGCUCAACGGAUAGAGCGGAUCCGUCCUAAGGAUACGAUGGAGGUUCAAUUCCUUCUGGGGGCACCA
rnacentral:tRNA from 1 species